UUCAUCUGAGAGGCAAAGAAAAACUUUCUCUCUUAAUCUCAUCUCACUUUUCCCAUGUCUCUAAAUCAUAUCUUCAUCUCUCAAUUUUUUUUCCUUUCAAUCUUCAUGUCUUAAAGCUUUGCGAUGGGGAAUCUUGACGGUUUCUUGGUAGGCGUUGAAAGUAUCAAAAAUAGUAGAGAAGGUAAUGGGUUUAAUCAUGGUUGUCGAGAUCGUGAUCUACAUCUCAAGAUCUUGCGAUUCAUCCUGCCUCCAUCGAUCUGGAGUGGUUUGAAGAUUAUAGAUCAUGGCAGAUCAAGCGGUGCGCCGUGGAAAAGCGGAAACUCGCGAAAUCAUCGCAUUUUUCCAAACUAGAGAAGAGCUAGAUUAUCCAUCCACAUCAAUGAAAGCAAAAUUUAACACAAAGAUUCAAGUAGUAAAGGGUGGGUAGCAAUAUAUAAAGAUGCUAUACAUUUUGGGAUUAUUCAUUACUUUUAACUUCAAAGAAUAUUUAACCUAAAAUUGAAGUCCUCUUUUCCUUGCAAGAAGAUCUCCCAACGUUGGCAACAAAUCUAAACUUUGACGGAAAGAUUUCAGCAGA